UUGACUGGAAAAAAUGUCAUCGAUUAGUAACAUAAACUAUACCGUUUAGAUCGUGAAAACACACUGACCUUAAAGAGAUGUUCUACCCUCUGGGUUUUAAGUACUAAGCUCAAGACUUGCAUUUUCAUCCAAGAAAGUUCUUUAUUAAGAAGCAAGUAGUUAAGUUAGUUUUUAGAAUUCCUAUUUCAAGAGCUGUAAAAAACUGCAUUUCAAAAACAGGAAGCGACCACCCCCGACAAUCCUUGUGGCAACCGAGGAAAAGUCAAGGCAAGUCCCCUCGGGAAUAGCGCACGGUCAACGAGUCGUAUAAUUAACGUUAUGCCAGAGCGAGAAAGUGCCACUUACUGUGCCGGGGUUUCGACUGAAGGUGGGGCAGCCUUGGAACUUAAACAGUUGCACUUUUCCAGGGGGCGUGGCCACCCCGAGGCACCCCUUUGUCUGUGUGUGUUCCAGUCAUUAAAUGAAUGGCAGCCCGGCAAAAACGCCGCCAGAAUUCAUCGCAGCACAUAAAACGCACCACAGGCAAAGGAUGAAGAACCGAGGACGAGGAUGACGAUGGUUUGGAGUGGCCUGUCGCAGCUUUUGUCUUAAAUUGGCUAAUAAACUGCCAUCUGUCGGGUGAAGGGGCGGUGAAAAGUGCUGGGCGUGUGACUUUGCGCGGUUGGCAAGUUGAAAUGCUUGCGGCUUCAUUAGGCGCCCAUAACGUGAGCACAUGAAAUUGAAAUGUUUAGCUGCCCUCAAGUCAAGUUAAAUCUCAGCGAAAAACAGGCCAAUAUCUGGAAAAUUAAAUAAGUAGCCCUUAAUGCAAAAAGUACGAAAUCUCAAGUCAUAAAGUUCCUUAUGGUCUGUCUUUCCUUGCAACAAGUUUCUGUAUAAUUUGAAUAUUAAGUAUUAGUGUAAAAAAACGAUUAUUAAUACAAAAAAAUU